GACGAACGCUGGCGGCGUGCUUAACACAUGCAAGUCGAACGGAAAGGCCUGCUUUCCCUUGUGGAUUGCGGGUACUCGAGUGGCGAACGGGUGAGUAACACGUGAGUGAUCUGCCCCCAACUUGGGUAUAAGCCUGGGAAACUGGGUCUAAUUCCCGAUAGGACUGCAGGGUGGUGCCUGUGGUGGAAAACGAUUUUCUAGUGGUUGGGGAUGAGCUCGCGGCCUAUCAGCUUGUUGGUGGGGUAAUGGCCUACCAAGGCGGCGACGGGUAGCCGGCCUGAGAGGGUGGACGGCCACAUUGGGACUGAGAUACGGCCCAGACUCCGACGGGAGGCAGCAGUGGGGAAUAUUGCACAAUGGGCGGAAGCCUGAUGCAGCGACGCCGCGUGGGGGAUGACGACCUUCGGGUUGUAAACUCCUUUCGACCGCGAGGAAGCCACCUGGUUGGAAGGGUGGUGACGGUAGUGGUAGAAGAAGCACCGGCUAACUACGUG
rnacentral:rRNA from 1 species